rnacentral:rRNA from 1 species
UGAGGAAUAUUGGUCAAUGGACGCAAGUCUGAACCAGCCAAGUAGCGUGCAGGAUGACGGCCCUAUGGGUUGUAAACUGCUUUUAUAUGGGGAUAAAGUGGGGAACGUGUUCCCUUUUGCAGGUACCAUAUGAAUAAGGACCGGCUAAUUCCGUGCCAGCAGCCGCAGUAAUACGGAAGGUUCGGGCGUUAUCCGGAUUUAUUGGGUUUAAAGGGAGCGUAGGCCGUUUGGUAAGCGUGUUGUGAAAUGUAGGAGCUCAACUUCUAGAUUGCAGCGCGAACUGUCAGACUUGAGUGCGCACAACGUAGGCGGAAUUCAUGGUGUAGCGGUGAAAUGCUUAGAUAUCAUGAAGAACUCCGAUUGCGAAGGCAGCUUACGGGAGCGCAACUGACGCUGAAGCUCGAAGGUGCGGGUAUCGAACAGG